AAGAAACACCAACCCUCAGCGUGGACGCUGGCAGCUGCGACCUCUCAUGAAAGGGUGCGGAUGGCCUCUGGUGAACUGGAUGAGGUCUCUGUUGUUGUGGUGAUGAAAGAAGAUAACAUAAAAACAGAAAAAUGGCGAAGAGCACAGAUUCCACAGCCUAAUGUCCUGAGUUUAAAUUCCUACUCUGCCAUUUACCAGGCUGGAAGUCCAAGGUGAAGAUGUUGGCAGGGUUGGCUCCUUCUGAGGCUGUGAGGAAAGGAUCUGUUCCAGACCUCUCUCCUUUACUUUGUGGAUGGCCGCCUUGUCCCUGUGUCCUCACCUAAUCUUCCCUCUGUACGUG
rnacentral:lncRNA from 10 species